rnacentral:tRNA from 1 species
CGUCUCGUGGCGUAGGGAUAACGCACCCUAACUAGAGAUUAGGGAGUCGUGAGUUCGAUUCUUACCGAGAAUA